GCAGAUGUUACGUGUAGGCUUCAGAAUGACAGUAAGCAAUGUGUACUAGUUAUGCUUUUUCUUCCAUUGUGCAGGCUUUGGAGGCUUAGCAUAUAAACUCAGUUUUACUUUCUGCCUUCUCUAAAACAACAAGAAUUCUGAGCUGAGUACUGUAACUAACUGGUUAUAUCAUUCCUAGCACACCCUUUUCAUUUUCUUUUCUUACAGUAGCAGAAGGUGUAUGUGUUUCUGAAGGAGUUGAAUUUAAGCCUGGGGCAGUGGUGCCAAAAAGCUCUUGUGAAGAUUGUGUGUGUACAGAUGAGCAGGAUGCUGUGAUGUGAACUGACUGCAUCCAGUGCAUCCCAGUGAAAUGCCAAACCGCCUACCAGCAGUCCUUUUUACAGUGCUGGCCAUUUAUGCUCUAGCUAACUGCAGAAAUUACCCUUGGAGGGAUUCCCUGAAGAUGAAUGACUGCAAAGCUACUAAGGAAUCACAGAAUUGUAUGGGUUGAAAGGGACCUUUAGAGAUCA